rnacentral:lncRNA from 1 species
AGUGGGGGACGUGGUUGUGGGCAAAGACAAGUGCAGGGAGCAGUGGCUUCUCUUGCUGUCCCUGUCCCACAUCUGGUCAUCAUGAAGAGUUCUCCCAUGGUGUUGUGCAUCAACCUCGAGGUGCUCCUGGCCAAGGCCACACAACUCUUUGUUAAGUCUCUAACCAUCUAUUCCUACGGUCAUGGCAGUAGAAAGAAGAAAGCACUAACAGUAAUUUAGCAAAUACAGCAGAGGAAUCAGAAAUUUUUCAGUUUCUUGAAGGUGUAUUAUUGCCAAAGAAGGUUUCCACUAGUAAAUACCUGAAAGUUCUUAAAGAGGAAAGGAGGGAAGAAGAAGAUGAGGAGGAGGGGUAGAAUGACUAUGAUGGUGAAAGUGAUGU